GCAGUCGUGGCCUAGUGGUUAGCGCUUCGGACUUGUAACCGGAGGGUUGCCGGUUCGAACCCCACCAGUAGGA
rnacentral:tRNA from 1 species